ACGUAGGGUGCAAGCGUUAAUCGGAAUUACUGGGCGUAAAGCGUGCGCAGGCGGUUAUACAAGACAGGCGUGAAAUCCCCGGGCUUAACCUGGGAAUGGCGUCUGUGACUGUAUGACUAGAGUGUGUCAGAGGGGGGUAGAAUUCCACGUGUAGCAGUGAAAUGCGUAGAUAUGUGGAGGAAUACCAAUGGCGAAGGCAGCCCCCUGGGAUAACACUGACGCUCAUGCACGAAAGCGUGGGGAGCAAACAGGAUUAGAUACCCUGGUAGUCCACGCCCUAAACGAUGCCGACUAGUUGUUGGGAAUUUACAUUCUCAGUAACGUAGCUAACGCGUGAAGUCGGCCGCCUGGGGAGUACGGUCGCAAGAUUA
rnacentral:rRNA from 1 species